UGCAUAUCAAAAGCGGAGGAAAAGAAACUAACAAGGAUUCCCCUAGUAGCGGCGAGCGAAGCGGGAAAAGCUCAAAUUUGUAAUCUGGCGCUUUCGGCGUCCGAGUUGUAAUCUCGAGAAGUGUUUUCCGCGUCAGACCGCACACAAGUCUCCUGGAACGGAGCGUCACAGUGGUGAGAACCCAGUACACGGUGCGGAUGCCUGAUGCUUUGUGAUACACUUUCGAAGAGUCGAGUUGUUUGGGAAUGCAGCUCAAAUUGGGUGGUAAAUUCCAUCUAAAGCUAAAUAUUGGCGAGAGACCGAUAGCGAACAAGUACCGUGAGGGAAAGAUGAAAAGCACUUUGGAAAGAGAGUUAACAGUACGUGAAAUUGUUGGAAGGGAAACGCUUGAAGUCAGACUUGCUAUUCGGAGCUUGCUUCGAUUCGCAGGCCCGCAUCAGUUUUCCGGGGCGGAAAAUCGUAAGGAGAAGGUAGCAGUUUCGGCUGUGUUAUAGCUCUUUACUGGAUUCGUCCUGGGGGACUGAGGAACGCAGCGUGCUUUUUGCAUGGGCUUCGGCCCAUCCACGCUUAGGAUGCGGGUGGAAUGGCUUUAAACGACCCGUCUUGAAACAC
rnacentral:rRNA from 1 species